CGAAUGCUGACAUAAGUAACGAUAAAGCGGGUGAAAAGCCCGCUCGCCGGAAGACCAAGGGUUCCUGUCCAACGUUAAUCGGGGCAGGGUGAGUCGACCCCUAAGGCGAGGCCGAAAGGCGUAGUCGAUGGGAAACAGGUUAAUAUUCCUGUACUUGGUGUUACUGCGAAGGGGGGACGGAGAAGGCUAUGUUGGCCGGGCGACGGUUGUCCCGGUUUAAGCGUGUAGGCUGGUUUUCCAGGCAAAUCCGGAAAAUCAAGGCUGAGGCGUGAUGACGAGGCACUACGGUGCUGAAGCAACAAAUGCCCUGCUUCCAGGAAAAGCCUCUAAGCAUCAGGUAACAUCAAAUCGUACCCCAAACCGACACAGGUGGUCAGGUAGAGAAUACCAAGGCGCUUGAGAGAACUCGGGUGAAGGAACUAGGCAAAAUGGUGCCGUAACUUCGGGAGAAGGCACGCUGAUAUGUAGGUGAAGUCCCUCGCGGAUGGAGCUGAAAUCAGUCGAAGAUACCAGCUGGCUGCAACUGUUUAUUAAAAACACAGCACUGUGCAAACACGAAAGUGGACGUAUACGGUGUGAC
rnacentral:rRNA from 1 species